rnacentral:rRNA from 1 species
UACGUAGGGUGCAAGCGUUAAUCGGAAUUACUGGGCGUAAAGCGUGCGCAGGCGGUUGUGCAAGACCGAUGUGAAAUCCCCGGGCUUAACCUGGGAAUGGCAUUGGUGACUGCACGGCUAGAGUGUGUCAGAGGGGGGUAGAAUUCCACGUGUAGCAGUGAAAUGCGUAGAUAUUGGGAAGAACACCGGUGGCGAAGGCGGCGCUCUGGACCGAGACUGACGCUGAGGCGCGAAAGCGUGGGGAGCAAACAGG